CUGCACUAAGCGGGGAGCUGGCGGUGCCCUGAACCCGAAAUCCGCCAUAUGCGGGGCUGAAUUCCCGCCAAGAGCUCUUCCCUUGUGGUCAGGGCUCUUCUGGAGGGCGAUGAAGGUCGGGUCCCGAAGGCGAGGCUCCUCUCUAAACCCCGCCAGGUCCGGAAGGAAGCAACGGUAAGGAGCAGGGGCAGCGCGCUCGGCAAACCUGGCUGGAGCCUUAAGGAAGGGAUAACCUGCUGGAAGGGGAGUAGCGAAGGUGGGUGUGCAG
rnacentral:SRP_RNA from 1 species